rnacentral:tRNA from 1 species
GAUUAAAUGGCUGAAAUUUAGGCGAUAGACUGUAAAUCUAUAUAUGAGAAUUAAUUCUCUUUAAUCA